UACGGGGGGGGCAAGCGUUGUUCGGAAUUACUGGGCGUAAAGGGCGCGUAGGCGGUUCGCUAAGUUGGAUGUGAAAACUCUGGGCUCAACCCAGAGCCUGCAUCCAAAACUGGCGGGCUAGAGUUCUGGAGGGGUAGCGGAAUUCCUGGUGUAGCGGUGAAAUGCGUAGAUAUCAGGAGGAACACCGGUGGCGAAGGCGGCUACCUGGACAGAAACUGACGCUGAGGCGCGAAAGCUAGGGGAGCAAACAGGG
rnacentral:rRNA from 1 species